GUCCACACAGUAAACGAUGAAUACUCGCUGUUUGCGAUAUACAGUAAGCGGCCAAGCGAAAGCAUUAAGUAUUCCACCUGGGGAGUACGCCGGCAACGGUGAAACUCAAAGGAAUUGACGGGGGCCCGCACAAGCGGAGGAACAUGUGGUUUAAUUCGAUGAUACGCGAGGAACCUUACCCGGGCUUAAAUUGCAGUGGAAUGAUGUGGAAACAUGUCAGUGAGCAAUCACCGCUGUGAAGGUGCUGCAUGGUUGUCGU
rnacentral:rRNA from 1 species